GUCAGAGCCAUAUCUCGCUGUACUUCUCACCUGGUUUCCCACUGAAGCUAAGCAGGGUUGAGACUGGCCAGUACCUGAAUUGGAGACCCCCUGGGGAAAGGUAAGGCUGCUGCUGGAA
rnacentral:rRNA from 1 species